rnacentral:rRNA from 1 species
AACGAACGCUGGCGGCAGGCUUAACACAUGCAAGUCGAGCGAGACCUUCGGGUCUAGCGGCGGACGGGUGAGUAACGCGUGGGAACGUGCCCUUCUCUACGGAAUAGCCCCGGGAAACUUGGAGUAAUACCGUAUACGCCCUUUGGGGGAAAGAUUUAUCGGAGAAGGAUCGGCCCGCGUUGGAUUAGGUAGUUGGUGGGGUAAUGGCCCACCAAGCCGACGAUCCAUAGCUGGUUUGAGAGGAUGAUCAGCCACACUGGGACUGAGACACGGCCCAGACUCCUACGGGAGGCAGCAGUGGGGAAUAUUAGACAAUGGGGGCAACCCUGAUCUAGCUAUGCCGCGUGAGUGAUGAAGGCCUUAGGGUUGUAAAGCUCUUUCAGCUGGGAAGAUAAUGACGGUACCAGCAGAAGAAGCCCCGGCUAACUCCGUG